AACUUUCAACAACGGAUCUCUUGGCUCUGGCAUCGAUGAAGAACGCAGCGAAAUGCGAUAAGUAGUGUGAAUUGCAGAAUUCAGUGAAUCAUCGAAUCUUUGAACGCACAUUGCGCCCCUUGGUAUUCCGCGGGGCAUGCCUGUUCGAGCGUCAUUU
rnacentral:rRNA from 1 species